AGAGUAUACAGGUAGCAGCAGGACAGUCUCCAGAGUAUACAGUGGGCAGCAGGACACUAUACAGGGGGCAGCACACAGACUAUACAGGUAGCCACAGGACAGUAUGCAGAGUAUAUUGGGGCAGGGACAGUAUACCGGUAGCAGCAGGACAGUAUACAGGUAGCAGCAGGACAGUAUACAGAGUAUACAGGGGGAAGCACACAGACUAUACAGGUAGCCACAGGACAGUAUGCAAAGUAUACAGGUAGCAGCAGGACGGUAUAUAGGAGGCAGGGACAGUAUACAGGUAGCAGCAGGACGGUAUAUAGGAGGCAGGGACAGUAUACAGGUAGCAGCAGGACAGUCUCCAGAGUAUAGAGGGGGCAGGACAGACAGUAUACAGGUAGCAGCAGGACAGU